UACGUAGGGGGCUAGCGUUGUCCGGAAUCAUUGGGCGUAAAGCGCGCGUAGGCGGCCCGGUAAGUCCGCUGUAAAAGUCCAGGGCUCAACCCUGGAAAGCCGGUGGAUACUGUCGGGCUCGAGUCCGGAAGAGGCGAGUGGAAUUCCUGGUGUAGCGGUGGAAUGCGCAGAUAUCGGGAGGAACACCAGUGGCGAAGGCGACUACCUGGCCUGUUCUUGACGCUGAGGCGCGAAAGCUAGGGGAGCAAACGGG
rnacentral:rRNA from 1 species